rnacentral:rRNA from 1 species
GACGAACGCUGGCGGCGUGCCUAAUACAUGCAAGUAGAACGCACAGUUUAUACCGUAGCUUGCUACACCAUAGACUGUGAGUUGCGAACGGGUGAGUAACGCGUAGGUAACCUGCCUGGUAGCGGGGGAUAACUAUUGGAAACGAUAGCUAAUACCGCAUAAUAUUAAUUAUUGCAUGAUAAUUAAUUGAAAGGUGCAAUUGCACCACUACCAGAUGGACCUGCGUUGUAUUAGCUAGUAGGUGAGGUAACGGCUCACCUAGGCGACGAUACAUAGCCGACCUGAGAGGGUGAUCGGCCACACUGGGACUGAGACACGGCCCAGACUCCUACGGGAGGCAGCAGUAGGGAAUCUUCGGCAAUGGACGAAAGUCUGACCGAGCAACGCCGCGUGAGUGAAGAAGGUUUUCGGAUCGUAAAGCUCUGUUGUAAGAGAAGAACGGGUGUGAGAGUGGAAAGUUCACACUGUGACGGGAUCUUACCAGAAAGGGACGGCGAACUACGU